AUGAUUGGCAAGUCAAUCCUCUGGAUGGUAAUCGACAAGCCUUCCAUGCAAGCACAUAAUUCAGCUUCAAUAGCUUCACAGGAAGAAGAGCUCCUUGCUGAGGCGGAUUUCAGACCACUCAACGGUGCAAUUCGCAAUUACAUCCUUGGGAAAGACCCACUUAGCAAAACAAACCUCCAGAUAGAUCUCGUCCCAGCAGUUGAUUCCGUCCUCUCGUCCAAAUCAUUCCCCACUGAUGGUGGCGGCGCAAAACUCACACCAUUCUCUAAUUCAGUCCCGGCGGCGACGGUCGCCACCUUGCCCCAGCCAGAUUUUCCUUGCCCUUUGACGGUAGCAAUACAAGCUAAUCAGCAUGAGUCCAUGAAACUAGCGCCACCUCUCCCUCGCGAUUCUUGGCAUGCACGACAAACCUGCAUAGUGUACCAGUCCUCUCAGGGUUCAUUGUACAAACCUCUUUGUGAUGAGGCACUCAAACCAACAGUAGGCAUGACAUUUGAUGAUAUUGCUACCGUGGAGGAAUUUUAUAAGAAAUAUGCACAACAUGUGGGAUUUGGUGUCCGUCUUGGAGCACAAAGGCUUGUGAACAAUGUAAUUCAGUGGAAGUGUUUCUUAUGCUCAAGGGAGGGAUACCGGUCCAUGAAAGUGUCUCCUAGCAAGCAACACUUGAUUAGAUCAAACAAGAAAGUAAGUGAGAAGGUGAAGUCAGCACUAUUUGAUUGCCACAAAGCUAGCAUCGGCCCAGCCCAAGCAUAUAGGCUACUCCAAGUUGGUGAAGGGGAGUUUGUAGAUGUGGGAUGCAUGAAGAAAGAUGUACAGAAUUACUAUUCCAGCACUAAUCAGUAUGACUACAUUUUUGUGCCCUUCAUGGGUAUCAACCAUCCUAUGCAAAGUUUCUUCCUAGGGGAUGAGUUUGGUAGCAUGAGGAACGAUAUCAAGGCACUCCUAACCCAUACCACACAUCGGUUGUGCAUGUGGCACAUUAUGAAGAAGGUUCCUAAGAUGGUCUCUCUUGAGUUGCGAAGUGAUGAAUUUUUCUGCAAGAGGUUGGACUCUUGUGUGUGGAAUUCUAAAACACCUACAGAAUUUGAAGAAAGUUGGAAGUCUCUAAUAUCAUAUUUUGGCUUGCAAGACGAUGAGUGGUUUGCAAGAUGUUACCUGAUUUGUGGGUCAUGGGUGCCAGCAUACUUCAUCAACAUUCCCCUAGCUGGUAUUCUCAGAACCACCUCUAGGGAUAUUGUAUUUGACAAUGAAGGAAAUCCACUUGAAGAUAAUCCGAUUGACUGCAUUGACAUGGAUACGAGAAGAAAGAUCUUGAUGGCACGGAACAAAUUAGAAGAUAUCAUCCGAUGUGCUAAAAAAUCGAGCGUAGCACUUGACUCACUCAAUACGGGUUUGUGCAAACUUGAGUCUGUUGUCUUGCAAUCAGCCUUUGUUGUUCCUCAAACUAUACAAGAAGAAGAAGAAUCAUUUGUUAGUAGCACCAUGCCUGCCCAAGUUGAUAUCCUAAUGCCGACCACUGUCAAUGUGAGGGAUACAUGCUCGCGAAUUAAGGGCCAUAGAGACAAGGAAAAGAAGGCAGGGCCAAAUAAGAAGAAAUUAGGGGUUACUCUACGGGUGCCACACACUUAUGAACGAGAGCUUGUACAACUUUUAGUGCACGAUCUCAUAACUUGGGCAUGGAAAAAAGAUUUGCCAAGUUAUGUUUAUCAGCAAGUCAAGUGGCCGAAGUCGUCCCUCUGCUUGUCAGUGCUGCUCUCUCUCCAUCCCAGCGCAUGGCUUGACCGGUCAAGCAAACCUACUGAAUGUUACAGGUAUGGUGACUGGAUCAUAAGAUCUUCAGCAAGGGAAAGACCUUCCCAACAAGCAAAUGCCUCCAUGCAAGUCGGAUCCGACGUUGCAUGUCAUAGGCCAGUGAUGGCGCCACGGAAAAACUCUAUGGGUUCAUUUGGUGUCCACUACGAGUGCACCUAUAGGGCGCCGUCAGCGACGGCUAGAAGGACUAGCGCCCACGCGUCCGUGAACUGGGCCGGCUCAGGUCGCCUUGUUCGCUCGAUCUUAGUUGACUGGUCGAUAGUUGACCGCUCCUUCCUCUUCCUGAGCCUGAUGCGUACAACUAAGAACGUGUUGAAGUAG
rnacentral:rRNA from 1 species